rnacentral:rRNA from 1 species
GGAGGGAAACCGAGUCUUAAUUGGGCGUUAAGUUGCAGGGUAUAGACCCGAAACCCGGUGAUCUAGCCAUGGGCAGGUUGAAGGUUGGGUAACACUAACUGGAGGACCGAACCGACUAAUGUUGAAAAAUUAGCGGAUGACCUGUGGCUGGGGGUGAAAGGCCAAUCAAACCGGGAGAUAGCUGGUUCUCCCCGAAAGCUAUUUAGGUAGCGCCUCGUGAAUUCAUCUCCGGGGGUAGAGCACUGUUUCGGCUAGGGGGCCAUCCCGGCUUACCAACCCGAUGCAAACUGCGAAUACCGGAGAAUGUUAUCACGGGAGACACACGGCGGGUGCUAACGUCCGUCGUGAAGAGGGAAACAACCCAGACCGCCAGCUAAGGUCCCAAAGUCAUGGUUAAGUGGGAAACGAUGUGGGAAGGCCCAGACAGCCAGGAUGUUGGCUUAGAAGCAGCCAUCAUUUAAAGAAAGCGUAAUAGCUCACUGGUCGAGUCGGCCUGCGCGGAAGAUGUAACGGGGCUAAACCAUGCACCGAAGCUGCGGCAGCGAACGUAUCACCCAAGACAACUUUACGGAGUUGACGAUUGACGGAGCGAAGCGACGUCAAAGCGUUCAUUAAAGUCGAGUUGGCUUAGGGAUACGUUCGUUGGGUAGGGGAGCGUUCUGUAAGCCUGUGAAGGUGUGUCGUGAGGCAUGCUGGAGGUAUCAGAAGUGCGAAUGCUGACAUAAGUAACGAUAAAGCGGGUGAAAAGCCCGCUCGCCGGAAGACCAAGGGUUCCUGUCCAACGUUAAUCGGGGCAGGGUGAGUCGACCCCUAAGGCGAGGCCGAAAGGCGUAGUCGAUGGGAAACGGGUUAAUAUUCCCGUACUUGGUGUUACUGCGAAGGGGGGACGGAGAAGGCUAUGUUGGCCGGGCGACGGUUGUCCCGGUUUAAGCGUGUAGGUGUGUGUUCCAGGUAAAUCCGGUUCACUUUAACACUGAGGCGUGACGACGAGGCACUACGGUGCUGAAGCAACAAAUGCCCUGCUUCCAGGAAAAGCCUCUAAGCAUCAGGUAACACGAAAUCGUACCCCAAACCGACACAGGUGGUCAGGUAGAGAAUACCAAGGCGCUUGAGAGAACUCGGGUGAAGGAACUAGGCAAAAUGGUGCCGUAACUUCGGGAGAAGGCACGCUGACAC